GAUGAACGCUGGCGGCGUGCCUAAUACAUGCAAGUCGAGCGAACGGACGAGAAGCUUGCUUCUCUGAUGUUAGCGGCGGACGGGUGAGUAACACGUGGAUAACCUACCUAUAAGACUGGGAUAACUUCGGGAAACCGGAGCUAAUACCGGAUGAUAUUUUGAACCGCAUGGUUCAAAAGUGAAAGACGGUCUUGCUGUCACUUAUAGAUGGAUCCGCGCUGCAUUAGCUAGUUGGUAAGGUAACGGCUUACCAAGGCAACGAUGCAUAGCCGACCGGAGAGGGUGAUCGGCCACACGGGAACUGAGACACGGUCCAGACGCCUACGGGAGGCAGCAGUAGGGAAUCGUCCGCAAUGGGCGAAAGCCUGACGGAGCAACGCCGCGUGAGUGAUGAAGGCCUUCGGAUCGUAAAACUCUGUUAUUAGGGAAGAACAUAUGUGUAAGUAACUGUGCACAUCUUGACGGUACCUAAUCAGAAAGCCACGGCUAACUACGUG
rnacentral:rRNA from 1 species